rnacentral:pre_miRNA from 1 species
CUAAUACUCCCUCUGUCCGAAAAUACUUGUCAUCAAAAUGAACAAAAAGAGAUGUAUCUAGAACUAAAAUACAUCUAGAUACAUCCUCUUUUAUUCAUUUUGAUGACAAGUAUUUCCGGACGGAGGGAGUAUAUA